rnacentral:sRNA from 23 species
AUCAACUAUCUCUCCCUUGGGAGAAGCUUUUAAAAGCUCAAGUUGAUCAGCUUUGGUUUUAAACUACGUUAUUAUUGUUUUUAUGAACAUCGGGUUACACGAUUCA